ensembl:misc_RNA Metazoa_SRP Metazoan signal recognition particle RNA
GCCGGGCACGGUGGCGUGUGCCUGUAAUCCCAGCUACUCGGGAGGCUGAGACGGGAGAAUCGCUUGAACCUAGGAGGCAGAGGUUGCAGUGAGCUGAGAUUGUGCCACUGCACUCUAGCCUGGGCAACAGAGCGAGACUCCAUCUCAA